GGGAAAUUUUCUCUCAGAGUUAAUAUUUCACCUUUAACCAGAGUGAUAUUUCUACACCUAAGACCAUUAAAGAUCCCUGACACUGUAUUUGAGAAAAGGGAUGUCUGUGUCAGAAUGUUCACUGUGAUCCUGGCAUUCUGUCUGAAUGCAUCCUGACAAAAUUGUGGGUCAUUUCCUGGAGCUGGUCUAUGUAGCCACGAAAGAUGCUUUUAAAUGUUUACCAUCCUUUGCAUCUGUGAUUAUGCAACAUGCUUGUCUGAGGAAGAAUUUUAAAUGAGCCUUUAGUUGUUUAGGAUGCACAGUGUGACCUAAAAAACUCUUCCACACUUGUCUCCUCCCCACAUCACAAAUUUCUGUGUCUCUACAUGGUGGCCUGGAUGGAGGAGGUGUGCACGUUGAUCCAGGAAGGAGAAGAUGAAGUUGAGUAGCUUGUGCAGAAAAAUGACCAAGAGUGGGGUGCAGAGCUGGGGUAGUGGUGAAACAACGCCUUCCUUUCUUAUCCAGAAAUAAUAAAUGGUCCCGCUGCAUGGUUUGAAACAGAAUGCCUACUAGAAGAAAUCUCUCUUUUAUUCUUUUAAGUGGCAUCUGAUCCAGGAGAGGAGCCAGCAGGACUGCCACCAGGUUGUGUACACGCAGGAAUCCCUCUUAGCUCUGAUGCUGUUGCGAGAGGCUCUAGAUGUCAUUCUGCGGCUACAGAAGGAAAGCGGGUAAAUUCAUCGAUAGAGGGGACCACCCAAACUCUCCUACCUAGUGCUUCUAACUCAAUCUGUGUCCCUGCCUCUCUGGGGUCCUGACCGUGCCUGCAAGGUGGUUAAGGGAGAUGAAUAUGAGUAAAUAAAAUGAGUGUUUGUCUGAAACUGUGUUGGGGGAUUAAGCAUUGUGUUCUCCUUUUGAGGAGCAGCAUGCCAACUGGCAGGCCUUGGCUGACUACCUGGGCCGAGCAGAGAAAAGGAGAUGCUCACCCUUGUCGAAGAGAGGCCGGCUGCUUUGAAGGACACAGGGAGGCGAGCCUCUUCUCGCCCAGAAAAACCAGGUGCAGCUUCCUCAGCAGGGAAAGGUUAUGCUUCAUCUGACUUCGUUUUCUCUCUGCAAAUUAAAGGACAAUUUAUGAGUGUCUAGACAGGAAUUAAUCGGAAUAAUAUUGGCUGCUUUUGACCCGAGAGUGCUAUUACAAUAAAGUAUAUACAACACAAAUAUAGGACAAA
rnacentral:lncRNA from 1 species